rnacentral:rRNA from 1 species
GACGAACGCUGGCGGCGUGCCUAAUACAUGCAAGUAGAACGCACAGUUUAUACCGUAGCUUGCUACACCAUAGACUGUGAGUUGCGAACGGGUGAGUAACGCGUAGGUAACCUGCCUGGUAGCGGGGGAUAACUAUUGGAAACGAUAGCUAAUACCGCAUAAUAUUGAUUAUUGCAUGAUAAUUGAUUGAAAGAUGCUAUUGCAUCAUUACCAGAUGGACCUGCGUUGUAUUAGCUAGUAGGUGAGGUAACGGCUCACCUAGGCGACGAUACAUAGCCGACCUGAGAGGGUGAUCGGCCACACUGGGACUGAGACACGGCCCAGACUCCUACGGGAGGCAGCAGUAGGGAAUCUUCGGCAAUGGACGAAAGUCUGACCGAGCAACGCCGCGUGAGUGAAGAAGGUUUUCGGAUCGUAAAGCUCUGUUGUAAGAGAAGAACGGGUGUGAGAGUGGAAAGUUCACACUGUGACGGUAUCUUACCAGAAAGGGACGGCUAACUACGUG